rnacentral:rRNA from 1 species
UACGUAGGGGGCAAGCGUUGUCCGGAAUCAUUGGGCGUAAAGCGCGUGUAGGCGGUUCGGUAAGUCGGCUGUGAAAGUCCAGGGCUCAACCCUGGGAUGCCGGUCGAUACUGCCGGACUAGAGUUCGAAAGAGGCGAGUGGAAUUCCCGGUGUAGCGGUGAAAUGCGCAGAUAUCGGGAGGAACACCAAUGGCGAAGGCAGCUCGCUGGGACGUUACUGACGCUGAGACGCGAAAGCGUGGGGAGCAAACAGG